rnacentral:rRNA from 1 species
AACGAACGCUGGCGGCAGGCCUAACACAUGCAAGUCGAGCGAUGACUUCGUUCCUAGCGGCGGACGGGUGAGUAACGCUUGGGAACGUGCCCUUUGCUUCGGAAUAGCCCUGGGAAACUGGGAGGAAUACCGGAUGAGCCCUUGGGGGGAAAGAUUUAUCGGCGAAGGAUCGGGCCGCGUUGGAUUAGGUAGGUGGUGGGGUGAUGGCCUACCAAGCCGACGAUCCGUAGCUGGAUUGAGAGGAUGAUCAGCCACACUGGGACUGAGACACGGCCCAGACGCCAACGGGAGGCAGCAGUGGGGAAUCUUAGGCAAUAGGCGAGACCCUGAUCUAGCCAUGGCGGGUGGGCGACGAAGGCGUUAGGGUUGGAAAUCUGUAUCAGCGGGGAAGAUAAUGACGGUACCAGCAGAAGAAGCACCGGCUAACUCCGUG